rnacentral:lncRNA from 8 species
AUGUGUCUGUCUAUCCCUGUUCUCUCCUCUCUGCACAGGCCAUACAAACGCUUCACACCGCGUGGCCGCUGCCACUCUAACCUGGUGGUCCCAGCGCGCACGACCCACGUGGAGUUCCAGGUCUCCGGCAGCCUCUGGAACUGCCGGUCUGCAGCCAACAAGGCUGAGUUCAUCUCAGCCUAUGCUACCCUCCAGUCCCUAGACUUCCUGGCGCUGACGGAAACAUGGAUUACCACAGAUAACACUGCUACUCCUACUGCUCUCUCUUCGUCUGCCCACGUGUUCUCGCAUACCCCUAGAGCAUCGAGCCAGCGGGGUGGUGGCACUGGAAUCCUCAUCUCUCCCAAGUGGACAUUCUCUCUUUCUCCCCUGACCCAUCUGUCUAUCUCCUCAUUUGAAUUCCAUGCUGUCACAGUUACCAGCCCUUUCAAGCUUAACAUCCUUAUCAUUUAUUGCCCUCCAGGUUCCCUUGGAGAGUUCAUCAAUGAGCUUGACGCCUUGAUAAGUUCCUUUCCUGAGGAUGGCUCACCUCUCACAGUUCUGGGUGACUUUAACCUCCCCACGUCUACCUUUGACUCAUUCCUCUCUGCCUCCUUCUUUCCACUCCUCUCCUCUUUUGACCUCACCCUCUCACCUUCCCCCCCUACUCACAAGGCAGGCAAUACGCUUGACCUCAUCUUUACUAGAUGCUGUUCUUCCACUAAUCUCAUUGCAACUCCCCUCCAAAUCUCCGACCACUACCUUGUAUCCUUUUCCCUCUUGCUCUCAUCCAACACUUCUCACUCUGCCCCUACUCGGAUGGUAUUGCGCCGUCCCAACCUUCGCUCUCUCUCCCCCGCUACUCUCUCCUCUUCCAUCCUAUCAUCUCUUCCCUCUGCUCAAACCUUCUCCAACCUAUCUCCUGAUUCUGCCUCCUCAACCCUCCUCUCCUCCCUUUCUGCAUCCUUUGAUUUUCUCUGUCCCCUAUCCUCCAGGCCGGCUCGGUCCUCCCCUCCUGCUCCGUGGCUCGACGACUCACUACGAGCUCACAGAACAGGGCUCCGGGCAGCCGAGCGGAAAUGGAGGAAAACUCGCCUCCCUGCGGACCUGGCAUCCCUUCACUCCCUCCUCUCUACAUUCUCCUCUUCUGUCUCUGCUGCUAAAGCCACUUUCUACCACUCUAAAUUCCAAGCAUCUGCCUCUAACCCUAGGAAGCUCUUUGCUACCUUCUCCUCCCUCCUGAAUCCUCCUCCCCCUCCCCCCCCCUCCUCCCUCUCUGCGGAUGACUUCGUCAACCAUUUUGAAAAGAAGGUUGACGAUAUCCGAUCCUCGUUUGCUAAGUCAAACGACACCGCUGGUCCUGCUCACACUGCCCUACCCUGUGCUUUGACCUCUUUCUCCCCUCUCUCUCCAGAUGAAAUCUCGCGUCUUGUGACGGCCGGCCGCCCAACAACCUGCCCACUUGACCCUAUCCCCUCCUCUCUUCUCCAGACCAUUUCCGGAGACCUUCUCCCCUUCCUCACCUCGCUCAUCAACUCANNNNNNNNNNNNNNNNNNNNACCAGGUGGCGUGGCGAGAAUCUGUCUCCGCACCAUGCGCUCUCACCACUGGUGUCCCCCAGGGCUCUGUUCUAGGCCCUCUCCUAUUCUCGCUAUACACCAAGUCACUUGGCUCUGUCAUAUCCUCACAUGGUCUCUCCUAUCAUUGCUAUGCUGA